UGGGGAAUAUUGGACAAUGGGGGCAACCCUGAUCCAGCCAUGCCGCGUGCGUGAAGAAGGCCUUAGGGUUGUAAAGCGCUUUCAGCGGGGACGAUGAUGACGGUACCCGCAGAAGAAGCCCCGGCUAACUCCGUGCCAGCAGCCGCGGUAAUACGGAGGGGGCUAGCGUUGUUCGGAAUUACUGGGCGUAAGGUGCGCGUAGGCGGAUUGAUCAGUCAGGGGUGAAAUCCCGGGGCUCAACCCCGGAACUGCCUUUGAUACUGUCAAUCUAGAGUUCGAGAGAGGUGAGUGGAAUUCCGAGUGUAGAGGUGAAAUUCGUAGAUAUUCGGAGGAACACCAGUGGCGAAGGCGGCUCACUGGCUCGAUACUGACGCUGAGGUGCGAAAGUGUGGGGAGCAAACAGGAUUAGAUACCCGUGUAGUCC
rnacentral:rRNA from 1 species